GGGGAAUAUUGCACAAUGGGGGGAACCCUGAUGCAGCAACGCCGCGUGCGGGAUGACGGCCUUCGGGUUGUAAACCGCUUUCAUCCAUGACGAAGCGUAAGUGACGGUAGUGGGAGAAGAAGCACCGGCUAACUACGUGCCAGCAGCCGCGGUGAUACGUAGGGUGCGAGCGUUGUCCGGAUUUAUUGGGCGUAAAGAGCUCGUAGGUGGUUGAUCGCGUCGGAAGUGAAAACCUGGGGCUUAACCCUGGGCGUGCUUUCGAUACGGGUUGACUUGAGGAAGGUAGGGGAGAAUGGAAUUCCUGGUGGAGCGGUGGAAUGCGCAGAUAUCAGGAGGAACACCAGUGGCGAAGGCGGUUCUCUGGACCUUUCCUGACGCUGAGGAGCGAAAGCGUGGGGAGCAAAC
rnacentral:rRNA from 1 species